UUGGCAGGCAAAGGUUGUAUUUUUCUAGCUGAUCUUGGAGUAACUUCCACCUAGGAUCAAGUUAAUGAGGCAGCACAAAGGGGAAGUAGGUUUAAAAGGAAGUCAAACAGUGUAGUCUGGGCUCCCCCUGAAAGACAGAAGUGGCUGUUAGAGGGGGAGAAACCGUGUCCAUUGCCAGGCGGGCACAGCAAGGGCUGCAAAGGACACAAGUAUGGACUCCCUGAGUGAGAGCAGUGGCUCUCUGGUAACACAGGGCUGCUGCUCAGCCUCUUUUACACAUACGCCGUUCUGGUGUGAUCGCCAUGUUUACAGCAUGUACAGGUAGAGUGAAGAAAGAAAACAUACUUGUUGCCGUAGUCAAUCUUUGAAGUUACUUUUUGCUUAAGUUCCUUUAAUUCGUCCUUUGGCAAGGUGCCGGAAAGGAGCUGUGAUCGCCAUUCCAUCAAAUCACACA